CCUGCACCCUCUUGAGCUGUUCCUAUAAUGGGAAACCAGAACUCUGCAGUGAGGCUGACAGCUCCAGUCAGGUGGGUCUGUCCUGCAGCUCAGCCCUGGAACUCAGAGAUGUUUGUGCUGAUGGUCACCAAGAUGCAAACGUGGCUGCUCCUGCCCCCACUCAGAGCCAGCUGUUGGUGUUUGGAAGGGCCCUGCAGAGGCACUAGCCUUGCUGGGCUGGGGAUGACCAACUUGCUGCAAAGCCAGGAGCCAAGGAGACCCAUCCAACAGCAAACAGAGCUGCCAGAAGAAAACGAAUAUAAACCCUGUUUGGAGCAAAGAGGACUGUGGGCUGCUUGUCUAGAACUUCAUGACUGGACCUUCUUAAGGUUGCAGCUGGCUGACUCCCUCUGCCUUCCAGAAGGAGAUGUCUCUCACCAUCAAGCAGAGGCUGGCCAGCACUCAGGAGAUGAAUCUGCCCCAGGUUGUCCAGCUUCAAGACAAGAGCAAGACCUCCAUUACAAGGAUUAUUUCCACCAGCUCCUCUGCAUCACUGAAGAGCUCAUUGUGCCAAUUUGUGCCACUGGUGCCUGAGCCAUCCCAGACUUCCCUGGCCAGCUGGACUUCCCAGUCUGUCGGGUCAAGUGGAGCACCCAGAAGGCUCUGCUGGCUGGAAACCAGGGCACCUCAUCACCAGCUGAGCACCCAGAGAUCAGAGCUGAUCCAGUAGAUUGUCAGAGUGGGAAUUGUCCCAGAGUCAUGGUCCCUGGGUGCAAAAAUAAUUGAAGAAAACAGCCAUCUUUAACUGGCUGCAAAAUGCUCACGCUGGAGGAUUGAACCCAGUAAAGGAGUGGUCCCCACUGAGUCUGGGGUGUCUGUGACUGUCACACCAAACGUGGAUGAUACAAAGAAAUUCCAGGACCAGCUUUGCCUUCUCCUUCCGUGGCCCAUGGUGACCUGCUGCAGAAUCCCAUUUGGAGGGUGCGCUGGGCUGGGGCCGCAUCAGCGCGGGCCGGUGGAGACACCUUCUGGGGGUCAGCAGAAGUGGUUCAGACCAGCGGGAGCGUUUCCUCUUAGCUGAGGACUUCAGGAGGUGCUCUGUCAUUUCACCUCCCUCCUUUUCUCACGCUGCUCUUGGCCCCGUGGAAGGACAGCAGUGCUGGCAGGCAGGGAACCCGCCAGCUAUGCUGUGAGCUUGUCCUCAGGGUUCAGCUUUUGAGAUCCAGCUUCCUUCUCCUGCAGCCUUUGCCCUGAGAAGAGGACAGAUUUAGAAUCUCUCUCUUUCCAUGGCUGGAAGCCUUCUGCUUGCCUGUCAGAUGCAACCAGGAGCGAGCAGCUGCUCUCAGGUGGUUGUGCUCAACCAGCUCUUUGGCUUCCCACUGCUCCCUCAUACUGGUAACCCUUGCAGCCAUACUUUCUGUGUUUUCAAGCUCUCAGCACUUGCCCCCAUGAAGACAUCUUAAAAUGGUGAGUAUCCAGAUCCUGGCCACAAAGACAGCUGGAACACAUCUCUCCUCCUUUGCUCUCCAUUACAGGAGUCAAUAUUCAUCUGUUCGUAGAGCUGAUUUUUGAAGUAGCUGCUAAGGUUGUAGUUGAUGCAGAUUUCUUUAAAUGGCACCUCCAAAUUACAGCUGUCAGGGCUUGUUUAAUUUUGAACAAAGACUACAAAUUGUAUUUCUAUUGGAGCUACUGAUUUCUUCAGACCUUUGGCUCGAGUCUGAUUGAGAAGCAUUUUUCUGUCUCAUAGAGAAUCAGGAGCUCACCUGAUGCUUAUAAAUCCCCUGGCUGCUGUGCAAAGCAUGAGGAAGGAGAAGAUUUAAUGGCUUCUGUCAUCUGUGCAAUCAGUGCAAGUCAGAAUAACCACAGUAAAGUCAGUGGAGACUAUUUCCAGGGUCAUAACUUGUCAAGAGAGGGAAGUCUGGCUGCCUAAGGAUGAUCUGUACAAGGACCUGCUGUGCCAGCCUGCAGUGCUGAUUGUGGCUGGUCCAGCUCACCUUGGAGCAAGUGGCUGAGAAGCUUUAGCACCUGCAUCCCAAAAAAUUGGAUGAGCUGCAUCCCAUAGGACUACUCUGGGAGAGGCAUGAACCAUGUUGGAUGUAGCCUGAGGGGCCUCAGACUCUUCUCUGACUUUUCUUUUUGAGAGUAAUGGUACACUUGUGGUCUGUGGGUUUCAGCAGGAGCUGAGGACUCUCAGUGAACUCAAAAAUCAAAUCUUGCCAACAUCCUUGAGCUGUCCAAGGUGCCCUUUUAAUCUGCAUCUGAGUGCCUGGAGGAGAAAUUCAAAGUGCAUCAUGUAAGGCUAUUUAAAUACCUCCUGGGUGUGUGGUCUGCGAUGCUUUGUCUUGGGAUCACCUGGAAAGAGUUGGUGCUUUGUUGGGAGGCUGGUUUUCACACAGUGCCCUGGCUGUGCCUAAUGGGUGGUCCCUGGGGGCGUGCUCUAGGGAAGCAGUAUCAGCACUGUUGACUGUCCAGGAGUUGGCCUUGAUGAUCCUUCUGGGUCCUUUCCAACUCAGGAUGUUCCAUCAAACUCCUGAAUUUAAUGUGGAAGGAGGUUGGUGGUUUCUGGUGCAUGUCCUCAGUGCUUGCAGGGACCUCAGGCACUACCAUUACCUCUCUGUCCUGAUGCUGGUGGCUCUUACACAGCCUGAGCUGGCAGGGUCAUGUCAUCCCAUGUGACUCUUCACAUGAGGUUUGCAGAAGCAGUGUGAUUUCUAUCUGCUCUAUUUUGGGAGGUGGGUGUGGGAAGUGGUGUAAAGCUGUGUCCUGAGCAGGCUCAGAAACCACCACACAGGCUGAGACUUUUUUUUUUUUUUUUUGUAACAUUUCAGAGGCUGGGACCAGUAAGUGUCAUAGGGCUGUCCUGGCCCUUGUAGGAAAGAUUCCUUUCUCCCUGGUGUCAAUCCACCUGUGCUCCCAUUAAAUUCCCACAUUAAUGCCUGGAUCUGUUUUGUCUUGUGUGGCUGGGUUGGAUGAGAGCAACACAGAGGGGUUGACUGUUGUUAGUCCCUUCAGCUCCAGGCUGACCUGCUUCUGUCAGGAACUUGGUGCUCCACAGUGCUGGUGGAAGUAUUUCCACAGCCCUUUGGCCCCUCUUUUGGGAUGGGUCCUCUCUGCAGGCAGAGGAGAUGCUCUCUGUUCCUUGCCUUCCUCCCUUGCAGUCUCAGCCUUGGCCUGGAGUGUUUUCCUAUGAAGUUUCUCUGCUUCUGAGGAGGCUUCUUUUAAAAUCAGCCCUAGGAUGUCACAGGACAUCUUAGAAACAAGUGGGACGUCCACAACUUCCCUGGGCAAGCCUGUGCCCGUGCUUCACCACCCUGACAGGGAAGAAUUUUUUCCCAAUACCUAAAUCUACUCCCUUUCAGUUUGAAGCCUCCCCCCUUACCCUGUCACUACAUGCUCUUGUAAACAGUCUUGCCCCAUCUUUCCUGUUAAUUCCCUUCAGGUACUGGAAGGCUGCAAUGAGAUCACCCCAAAGCCUUCUCUUUUCCAGGCUCAACAAUCCCAAUUCUCUCAGCCUUUCCUCAUGGGAGAGUUGCUCCAUCCUUCUGAUCAACUUGGUGGCCUCCUCUGGACUCACUCCAGAGGUGAAGAAACAUCUGCUGUGUCACAGCACCGUGGGGAGAGAGGCAAUAAAUACACAGACAACGCGA